ACAAAACGGAUAAUGGCUCGUUUUCCGAUUUCCCAUUUUGCGCUCAAAUCAAAAAUGGAAAAAACGGAUAACGAGCGCUCAUAUCCGAUUUUUUUUUUUUUUCCAUUUGAUACAAACGCCGUGACCCGGAAAUGACUGUACUGAACUGAAAACUGGCAAACUUGCAAAGAAAGGUCGCAUUUGAUCGAAAUGGACAGUUUUGUGUUGUUCCUGGGCAGCAAACGAGUCACUCUGAAGGAGGAAGGUAUGACCACAGAGAAGAUCUCGGUUGUAUUUCAGGUACAAAGGCAAACUGUUUAUUUGACCGACGAUGCCAACGUAGCCAUUUUCCCCCAACCUCACGGCAGAUUCAAUUGUUUCGACCUCAACGACAGAGGCCAUUACGAGGUUCACGGUGACAGUAUUACUGUGGAAACGAUGGGGUCAGGAGGACCCGGGGCUCGAACCUGCAACCAUCCGGUUGCCGAACGGUCCUAUUGAUAAACCAGUUUUCUCAACCUGCUGCAGAAGCUUAAUUGGAUGUAAGGGAUGUAUUGAGGAGUGGAGCAGCCCCCAUUCUUACUGCCCAAAGUCUUGGAGAACAGUAAUCACGAAGUGGCUCUCUCUGACGCAUUGGCACCACUGGAGAAGUUAUUCAUUUAGUAUGUUGUAUUCACUACAGCAGCCACAAAUGUUUGUAAAUAGUUCUUAAUUAUCUGCACUUUUGAGGUCUUAUUUAAGCAACCCCCCCUUUUUGAAGGUUGCAUAACAUGGCACGUUCAGUGCUGAGGCUGCCUAGUACUCAUGUGAUUAAAAAGCUUGUAAUGCUUUUUGCGCUUCAAAUAUACACUUACAGAAUAUCUUCUAGAACGUUUCAACUGUAACGUUCGUUUUUUCCAGUCUCACUCUGGCCAUGUACACAGACGUAAAUGUAAAAGAAGCUCUUUUGCCAUCUAGUACUGUGAUAACUUGUUACAUGUUAAAUUAUUAUAUUUGUUAAAGAGUUAUGUAUUUUAUACUUGUUACAAUGACCUUUUGGACAUUAAAAGACAUAUGAGGCCCCAA